ACCAGGGAUUGCCCCAGUAACGGCGAGUGAAGCGGCAAAGCUCAAAUUUGAAAUCCUGCGGGAAUUGUAAUUUGAAGGUUUCGUGGUCUGAGUCGGCCGCGCCCAAGUCCAUUGGAACAUGGCGCCUGGGAGGGUGAGAGCCCCGUAUGGCGCACGCCGACUCUUUGCACCGCGGCUCCGACGAGUCGAGUUGUUUGGGAAUGCAGCUCUAAGUGGGUGGUAAAUUCCAUCUAAAGCUAAAUAUUGGCGAGAGACCGAUAGCGAACAAGUACAGUGAUGGAAAGAUGGAAAGCACUUUGAAAAGAGAGUGAAACAGCACGUGAAAUUGUUGAAAGGGAAGGGCUUGCAAGCAGACACGGUUUUACCGGGCCAGCGUCGAAAAGGGGGGAGGAACAAGAACUCGAGAAUGUGGCGCGCACCUUCGGGCGCGCGUGUUAUAGCUCGUGUUGACGCCUCCAUCCCUUUUCGAGGCCUGCGAUUCUAGGACGCUGGCGUAAUGGUUGCAAGCCGCCCGUCUUGAAACACGGACC
rnacentral:rRNA from 1 species